rnacentral:rRNA from 1 species
AAUGUUAUAAUUUAGGGGUAAAGCACUGUUACGUAUGCGGGCUGGUAAUUCGGUACCAAAUCGUUGCAAACUAAGAAUACUAAAUGUACAGUUCACCAGUAAGACUGUGGGGGAUAAGCUCCAUUGUCAAGAGGGAAACAGCCCAGAGCACCAGUUAAGGCCCCCAAAUAAUUGCUAAGUGGUAAAGGAGGUGGGAUUGCAGAAACAAUCAGGAGGUUUGCUUAGAAGCAGCAACCCUUUAAAGAGUGCGUAAUAGCUCACUGAUCGAGUAAACCUGCGCCGAAAAUGAACGGGACUAAGUAAUUUGCCGAAACUGUGCGAUAUAUUAAAAUAUAUCGGUAGGGGAG